rnacentral:misc_RNA from 1 species
UGUCUGGGGUCGCCUAUUCNUKUCCCUCCCGACUGGCYUGWAUGKCDCUUGGGAGAGAAUUUCGUAGUCGGCUUUGUCUGUGCGGUUCUAUCCGAAGAGGGAAAAGAGAUCGGUUGCGUGAUGGGUGUUUUCUGCUUGCCCCGUUGAUAAUUUUAUCUUCUUCGGGGCAGCYGAAUUGUCGGUGAAACGCAGGUGCAUCCCGCAGUUUUUUAGCUGUGGCACUGCACKUGGGUAUUGUCGGCUCUUGCGGAUGCUGUGUCCACAAUCAGYUCUGUAGGCCGCUGGUCYACAGGCUUCGAGAGGUCCCUUGUACGAAUCGUUGGUUUGUCGAUCGCCCGUCGUGUCGGUUMUGCCGUCRCGCCGGAGCGGUGUGUGGGUUGCCUCUAMGACCGAAUAAGCAGCGAUUGUCGGCUCGUAUCGUCAGACGGGCCUCCCCUCAG